CCUACGAGCUGCAGCAGUGGGGAAUAUUGGACAAUGGGCGAAAGCCUGAUCCAGCCAUGCCGCGUGUGUGAAGAAGGCCUUCGGGUUGUAAAGCACUUUCAGUGGGGAAGAAAGCCUUGGGGCUAAUACCCUCGAGGAAGGACAUCACCCACAGAAGAAGCACCGGCUAACUCCGUGCCAGCAGCCGCGGUAAUACGGAGGGUGCGAGCGUUAAUCGGAAUUACUGGGCGUAAAGCGCGCGUAGGCGGUCUGAUAAGCCGGUUGUGAAAGCCCCGGGCUCAACCUGGGAACGGCAUCCGGAACUGUCAGGCUAGAGUGCAGGAGAGGAAGGUAGAAUUCCCGGUGUAGCGGUGAAAUGCGUAGAGAUCGGGAGGAAUACCAGUGGCGAAGGCGGCCUUCUGGACUGACACUGACGCUGAGGUGCGAAAGCGUGGGUAGCAAACAGGAUUAGAUACCCCAGUAGUC
rnacentral:rRNA from 1 species